rnacentral:rRNA from 1 species
GACGAACGCUGGCGGCGUGCUUAACACAUGCAAGUCGAACGGAAAGGCCCUGCUUUUGUGGGGUGCUCGAGUGGCGAACGGGUGAGUAACACGUGAGUAACCUGCCCUUGACUUUGGGAUAACUUCAGGAAACUGGGGCUAAUACCGGAUAGGAGCUCCUGCUGCAUGGUGGGGGUUGGAAAGUUUCGGCGGUUGGGGAUGGACUCGCGGCUUAUCAGCUUGUUGGUGGGGUAGUGGCUUACCAAGGCUUUGACGGGUAGCCGGCCUGAGAGGGUGACCGGCCACAUUGGGACUGAGAUACGGACCAGACUCCUACGGGAGGCAGCAGUGGGGAAUAUUGCACAAUGGGCGGAAGCCUGAUGCAGCAACGCCGCGUGCGGGAUGACGGCCUUCGGGUUGUAAACCGCUUUCGCCUGUGACGAAGCGUGAGUGACGGUAAUGAGUAAAGAAGCACCGGCUAACUACGUG